rnacentral:lncRNA from 7 species
GAGUUAUUCUGCAUGUUAGUUGACUGUGUGACAGAAUUGCUUUUUGAGCAUGGCUGUCUCUUGAAGUUAUGCCUGAGCGGAGUUUCCUUGCAGCAUGAUGUUACGAUGCCUUGCUGAAUAUGAUCCUCAGGAGAAGCUUGAGGAGUCCUAGAGUGUAUUGGCACCAAACAGCUGUUCCUCAUGGCUGCAUCAGCCCACAAGGCAAAGUGAAGUGGAUAAAACUUUCUUGCAUGUGUGUGCUUCCUGUGCUUCCAGCUGUAUUUGUAGGCACUUGAGAAGAUGCUUCAGAAUUCCUUAUUAAUUUCAGAAAAAUAAUGUGUUUAACUCUGAAAUGUAGCUGCUUCUCUUUGAAAACUGCCAUCUUCAGGUCCAGCUUUUCUAGAAUGGAUUUAACCUCUUCCCACUGUGCAGAAAAAUACUGUAAAAUCUGGGCAGUUCAAAAGGCGUGACAGAACUCCAGCCUGUUUUGCAAGAACCAAAAUCUCUUAAGAAAGCAAGCAACAAAUGUUUCUUGAAAAAAAAAAAAAAGAAGCAAAUUGCAAGGCUUUUUCACUCUCUUACUGUUGUAUCUUGGAACAGUUUAAUUCAAAUGCUUCCUGAGAGAUGUAUCACAAGCAGCUGGCACUUCUGACUUAUUCUUAGUGUACUAUAAAAAAAAAAAAGUAUUCUGAGAACUCUACAAUUCACAGGUUGUCAUUUUUAAAAUACACCAGGCCUAGUUAGUCUUACAUCACCUUUAUAUCGCUCCUGAGGUUGCUGUACUGUAGUGUGGGCUUGGAAAACUGGAAACAUGGCUGCUUUAUGGAACUUGUGGCAUAAAAACAUAUCGUGCUUGUGCUCCAAACGCCUUCUAUUGGUACUUUAUGAAUUGAAAAAAUGAAAGACCAAAUGGAGGAACUAUAGAAGCUGUGAAAUCUGAUUGCCUCAGAGAAGCUACUGGUGGAAAAAGUUAAUUACGUGGAGUUUCCAGAUAUGGGUUUGCUGUAUCCUUUACCUCUCACAUAAGGCCACUUUUUGAGGUCAUCUCAAGGUUUAAAAAGAUUGGCUUUCAUGGUGAUGAUUUGCUUCUGCCAGUGACAUUUAAGCAGAGAAAUAGUUGGACAAGCUGUAGUUCUUGAAGAUAGGAAAUAUUUCUUUACUACUUGCAGGUAAGUAAUGCCUAAGACAGGGAUAGAUUAUUUUUAUUUUGGGUUUUCUUAUCUAAUGUCAGAGAGUAGAAUUUUUAUGUGGAUGAAACAAGCUCCUUGUGUCAAGAAGUAAAACUCGGAUUUAAAUGUAAUUGAGGGUUUCUCUGUGACUGUAAUUUAGUAUGCAGAUGACAGCGUAUUGUCAAAUAUACAAAGGUAUUGGUUCUUCACUCUUCCUUACAAAUUUUACUGUAGUACAUCAUUCCUGACAAAAGUUAUUAACUUGUCAUUAAAGGAGAAAAUAGUCAAAAUGUUGAGAUUAAUGUUAAGAGUGGAUAAAUAACAAGCCACAAAUAAAUUACCAAAUGGAAAUUCUUGUUUUUAUUCUUGUUCAGUGUCAAAAUAGCUUCAAACAAAUCUGUUUGCAGUGUAAAUUUGUCUGAGUCUUUCAGAGACGAUUCUCUUCCUGAUUUUUCCCCCCCCCCUACUCCUUGCCUCUCUUAACUCCAAUAUUUGUAAAGCGUAAGUUUUCCAAGGAGCAUUGUACAUGCAAUACUGUAGAUUUAAGCAGGGUUUCAUAACACUAUUUGACCAGAUGAAUAAGUUAUUAUUUUCAUACCCGGAAAACUGGUCAUAUCAUACGUUUUCAUCCCUUGGAAAUGUAAUAUUGGAAUUAUUAUGAAAUACUGAAAUAUUUCAUAGAAUAAUUUCAAUAAAAGGGAAAAGGAUACAUAAGGAUCCAAAAUCACUGACCUUUUAUCUUUUUUGAAAUCCAUAACUACAUACCGAUGCUCACUUAAGGUGUGCUAGCUUCUGUAGUGAGGGUUUUUCAUUUGGUGUUUGGUUUUCCUGUGCUCUGAAGGGCAGACAGGGCUUGCAAUUGCUGGUAUCUGAGGGGAAAUUAAAGAAUUUUUGUUCAGUAGUGUGUUGCACUGCAGCCACUUACAGGUGUAUCUUUAAAUCAUCAUUAACAGCUGUCAGUGUACUAUGUAGGUGAAAUCAGGUAGAAAAUAACACUGCUACAACUUUGUCAGUGUGAAGGUUACACAAUUAAAGCAGUUAUGAUGCUAAUAUACAUCCUAAUAGUAGAGAAGGAGAUUCAAAGGCAUCCCCUUGCUUUGCACAGGUCUCUAUGUCAUCUGCUGUGCAGGUACACUCCUUCUGAGCAAAAUACUCCUGCAAUUAUGGAUAAGGUUGUGACUUGCUAAGGAUCAGGCAGUGAAGAGAUCUCUCUUGCUGUUAUUUGAUAUUUUGACUUGGUAUUGGUUUAUUUUUUUAAUGUUGAUGGGUUUUUGUAAUGAAUCUUUCAAAACUCUCAAAGGUAAUAAACAGACUGUAGUCUGUCUGUGCUAUGAAUUAAAUAAAAUUACUGUUUGUUGUGGG